UGAGCUUUACUCAUUUCUGCUUACUUUGUUGACCUUACUUUAAGAAACUUAGUAAAGAACACUUUUUGGUGAGUAAAGUUAUUAAACUUAUUAUCUCAAGUAAGCUUUACUUUAAAAAAAUGAGUGAGGCGGACUCGGAAGAAACUCGGGUGCACUCGGCAGCACUCGGCAGCACUCGGCUCGAAUACGCAUGCGCAGUCGACCACUGAAGACGUUCUUUGCUCGAGACGGAUUGGCGGCAGCGAGAAGGCAGUGCAGGUGUGCGAGUUACUUUCAGGCUUUGAAAAACCUGGCAAUGAAUUAUUCUGGCUGAGUUCUGUCGCUUAUCAAGCAAAAAUCUGAGUUGCAAUCAGAGUUCUUCAAAGAUCUCGACAAAUAUACUCCUCGCUUCCUGGAGAAGUUCAAAACCCAGAGGGGGAAAGUGUCGGACAGAAACUUGAAUAUCUGCAACAAGUCACACCUGGGAGUACAGAUGUGACUGGGAGGUGAACAGCAGUCCUCCGUAGCUCUCCCUUCAUCCUUGGAGAUGACAACGCAGACUUCUUCAAGAAUUUGAGGUUCAGGAGCAGCCAAUAUGAUGCAGGUGUGACGGCUGAAGAUGGUGUGAGUUUAGGAUGGCAUGAAGCUUCGACUUGACCCUAUGGAAACACAGCAGAUGCCACCAAAGGGUCCUGAUCGGGGACUCUGAUGACCUUCUGGACGUGUCCCACGCCUCCAUUGGGACCCUGACAGUGCUGAAGACAUCGUGGCCUCCUCACUCGCUGAACCUGGAGUCUACAGCUACUGCCAUCGUUUUGGGAGGAACAGUCGUGAUGGGUGACCGUGAUAAUCUUCCCCGUGCCGUGUGGCUACUCUUCGGACUUAUUUACCCCUGAAUUCGGAGUAUCCUCAACGAGUGAGGAAGACCUUCUGAAUUUAUUCAUAGAGUGCUUCUCACUUGGACCAAAAACCCUAAAAUACAAUCACUCAAAAAUCUACUGAUGCCAUAAGGGACUGUGUUCAUGAUGUGCAGUCAGGCCCGAGAACUUCACCCUUCUAUCUCCAAUUGAACUCUUUUCUAGAAAAUGUCUGUUUUUGUUGUUUUUCUGUCGUGAAAUUUAGCAAAUGCCGAAAACGCUGUGUUCAUCAUAUUUCUGCGUUACAAAACCUAAUCUGGCAACAUGUUCAGCGUUUUAAGCACGUUGUUUGAGUUUUAAAACAUGUGUUUUUCUUCUAAAUAAACGUUGUCUUCCAUUGUAA